rnacentral:rRNA from 1 species
CCAGCAGCUGCGGUAAUUCCGGCUCCAAGAGCGUAUAUUAAAGUUGUUGCAGUUAAAAAGCUCGUAGUUGGAUUUCUGGUACAAUGCGCCUGGCCCGCGGCGGUUACGCCUGUGAGUGCCGGUGCGCGUUUGCCAUCCUUCUAGAAAACGUUUCUACCCUUCACUGGGCCGGACUCGCGAUCUAGAUCUUUUACUUUGAAAAAAUUAGAGUGUUUAAAGCAGGCUUUUGCUAUGAAUACAUUAGCAUGGAAUAAUAAUCUAGGACUUCGGUUCUAUUUUGUUGGUUUCUAGUACUGAAGUAAUGAUUGAUAGGGAGCGUUUGGGGAUGCCUGAAUUGGCCGGCCAGAGGUGAAAUUCUUGGAUUCGGUCAAGUCAAACUUAUGCGAAAGCAUUCAUCAAGGAGCUCUUCUUUAAUCAAGAACGAAAGU